UACGUAGGGGGCAAGCGUUGUCCGGAAUUAUUGGGCGUAAAGAGCGUGUAGGCGGCCAGAUAAGUCCGCUGUGAAAUCUCGAGGCUCAACUUCGAGCUGUCGGUGGAAACUAUCUGGCUAGAGUCCGGAAGAGGAGAAUGGAAUUCCUGGUGUAGCGGUGAAAUGCGCAGAUAUCAGGAGGAACACCGGCGGCGAAGGCGGGUCUCUGGACAGUUCCUGACGCUGAGGCACGAAGGCCAGGGGAGCAAACGGG
rnacentral:rRNA from 1 species